CGGAGAGGGAGCAUGAGAAACGGCUCCCUCAUCCAAGGAAGACAGCAGGCGCGCAAAUUACCCAAUCCCUUUACGGGGAGGUAGUGACAAUAUGUAACAAUAUACGGCCUUAUACGUCGUAUAAUUGGAAUGAGUACAAUUUAAAUCCCUUAACGAGGAACAAUUGGAGGGCAAGUCUGGUGCCAGCAGCCGCGGUAAUUCCAGCUCCAAUAGCGUAUAUUAAAGUUGUUGCAGUUAAAAAGCUCGUAGUUGGACCUUGGACCUGGACAGGCGGUCCGCCUCACGGCGAGUACUGUCUUGCUGGGUCUUUCCUCUUGGUGAUCUGUUGUUUCGGCAGCAGGGAACCAGGACUUUUACUUUGAAAAAAUUAGAGUGUUCAAAGCAGGCUCGACGCCGGAAUAUAUUAGCAUGGAAUAAUAAAAUAGGACGUGCGGUUCUAUUUUGUUGGUUUUUGGAAUCGCCGUAAUGAUUAAUAGGGACAGUCGGGGGCAUUAGUACUCACAUGCUAGAGGUGAAAUUCUUGGAUUUUGUGAAGACUAACUUCUGCGAAAGCAUUUGCCAAGGAUGUUUUCAUUAAUCAAGAACGAAGGUUAGGGUAUCGAAAACGAUUAGAUACCGUUGUAGUCUUAACAGUAAACUAUGCCGACUAGGGAUCGGUCGAUGUUAUCUUUUUGACUCGAUCGGCACCUUACGAGAAAUCAAAGUUUUUGGGUUCUGGGGGGAGUAUGGUCCGAAGGCUGAAACUUAAAGAAUUUGACGAAGGGCACCACCAGGAGUGGAGCCUGCG
rnacentral:rRNA from 1 species